UACGGGGGGGGCAAGCGUUGUUCGGAAUUACUGGGCGUAAAGGGCGCGUAGGCGGUUGGAUAAGUCAGCUGUGAAAACCACGGGCUUAACUCGUGGCCUGCAGUUGAGACUGUCUGGCUUGAGUGUGGGAGAGGAGAGUGGAAUUCCUGGUGUAGCGGUGAAAUGCGUAGAUAUCAGGAGGAACACCGGUGGCGAAGGCGGCUCUCUGGACCACAACUGACGCUGAGGCGCGAAAGCGAGGGGAGCAAACGGG
rnacentral:rRNA from 1 species